GAAAAAAUGAAGAAAUAUAGCUUCCUCUUAUCAAAAUGACCUGCAGAAGUUUGAAAAACUCUUCCAUCUCCCCAUCCCAUGGAAGGCAUCUUCAACAGUCCUGUUCCAUUUAUAGACUCUGUAGAAGGAACAGUUCUUAUAACAUGAUGCCAAAAUUAUUCUAGUUCACACACAAACAAGUUGUCCUGUAAUUCUGCUGUGGGCCUCCUCAUAUUAGGAAGAAAUUAAGAAAAAUAUAGUACCACCAGUUUGUUAUGCAACCACUUCGAAAAUGUUUACUUUGCUUAAAAUGUCAUGGCUAAAGAAACUACUCGUCUGCAUAAUCCACUCUUGACAGUGAUUCAUAACUGUGUGACAUUUGGGCUUGGUCAGGCUUUACUCCAGUCAGAUUGAGUCUUUCCUUAAAAAGGGGAUAUAUUUUCAAUUUCAGAGUAUUUACUGCUUCAUGACAAAUAUUAAUAACAAGUCUGUGGCUUCGAGGCCUCAUACCUUUGAGACUACCACAGUCUACUUAGCAUUUUUUUUUUUUUUUACUUAGACCUUUUGAAUUUGCUUUUAAUUUAUACCCCUGGCCUUGUUCUCUUGACCAAAUAAAAGCCCUAAGAGAGCUUCCACUGCCAGCAGCCUUCCAAUUUGCUCUGUUCCCCCUUGGGCCCUGUUGAUUGGGCCCAGUGAUCACCUAAAAAGAGUGCAAAGAGUCAGGAAGGCUUGUGGGUUCAGUCUUUCUGUGCUAACACCAGGCCACAUCCAGGCCUGAUGUACUAACUGAUCUCCAGUUCAUUCCUUUUGCAAUUUUUGGCCUUGAUUCAUAGUUCCUGAUUCUUGAUUGGCUCUGAAAUCCUCCCCAUUUUCAAAAGGGAUGCAGUCAAGCAGGCCAAAGCGCUCCAUGUUAGCUAACAAAUGUUUGCAAAUCAUAAUAAUGUAGGAAGAGAACCAUAAACUAAAUGAACAACAGGCAUUAGCCCUCAUGCUGUCACAUAAGCAUUCCUCAAAAUAUAAUCAUGCUUCUAAACAUGGGCUGGCAAUUCAGGAAAGGGCCACUGAAAAUAUUAGCCUCGUUCUUUUCUCUGUAGAGUGAGCACAGACUAUUCCUAAACCACAUUGCAGUAUGCCAACAUUGUAAAUUAAUGCCUGAUUGGUUACCUAGAAGUAAGACAAUCUUACUUUUAGGCAUCUAGAACACUGAGAAAUCCAGGAUGGACACUUAACACUACCAAAGAUUGAUCUAUUUUGGGUAAGUAUACUUCUGAUCUCUUUUUGAGGACUGUAUUAGUCCAUUUUCACACUGCUAUAAAGAACUGCCUGAGGCUGGGUAAAUUAUAAAGGAAAGAGGUUUCAUUGACUCAGAGUUCUGCAUGGCUGGGGAGGCCUCAGGAAACUUAACAGUUAUGGCAGAAGGCAAGGGAGAAGCAGGUACCUUCUUUACAAGGCGGCAGAAGAGACAGAGAGGGCAGGGGAAACUGCCAUUUUUAAGCUAUCAGAUCUUGUCAGAACUCCGUCACUAUCACGAGAAGAGCAUGAGGGAAACUGCCCCCAUGACCCAAUCACCUCCCACCAUCCCCCGCUCAACACGUGGGGAUGACAAUUCAAGAUGGAAUUGUGUGGGGACACAGAGCCAAACCAUAUCAAGUACCUACAAAAUUAUGGUGACUCUUCACUAAUUUGCAAACUGAUUAUCUGCAAAUCUUAAAUAGGGAAUAAAACACAAAAAUAUCAUUAUCCCUCCAGAACUGAGGACGCAAAUUGGAUUUAGAAGACUUAGCUUUGACACCUAGAUAUGUUUUCAUUGAUUUGACCUAACUUGAUCUCAGUUUCUCUUUUAUAGAGUUAGUUCUUUAGAUCAGAGGUCCCCAACCCCAGGACUGCGGACUGCCACUGGUCUUUGGCCUGUCAGGCACCCGGCCACACAGCUGGAGUGUGAAAAAAAAGGAAAAAACUGAAAAUCUCAAGAGGAUUCCAGGAAAUCAAAACAAUGAAUUAUUGAAUCAAGAAUUUGAAAGAGAAAAUAGAUGCAUACUGAAAAAAGAAUUUUGUUUAGUGAGAUAGAUGUAAUAAUGAAGGCAUGUUGAUAACGGGGGAGCUAUGUAUAUAUGAGGGGAGGGAUAUAUUGGAAAUCUCUGUAUCUUCCUCUCAAUCUUGCUGUGAUCCUAAAACUGCUCUAAAAAAUAUUUUGAGAAGGAAUAAUGAUGUGGUAAACAUGUUCUGUUAUUUAAAAAGAGAGACUUUUCAUAGCCGCCUCCCUCCCCCUCUACACACACACAGAGUCCUGUCCGUCUUCAUUCCCUUACUCAAUAAUUUGUACAGACACAGCCACUGGGCUCCAGUAAUCCUAAAGUUUCUAGAAAAUCAAGCACAGAAAAAGGUUAAAACCCUGAGGGAAUAAAAGAAUUCCUUUGCAUCCAUUGCAUUUCUCAGGAAGUGAACUAACAAAUUCACUGCUUUUAAAUGAGGAAAUUUUCUCAGUGAAAUUGAUUCCAAACCUUCGUUAGGUCAACUGUUCCCAGAUUUCUUAGCUGAUGCCUGAUCUGACUAUUCCUUAUCUUUAGUACAGAAACCAAGGUGAAUGACCUUUAAAAAACAUAUUAGACUGUUGACGUGUCUUCUAUGUUGUACUCUAGGUAAAAACGAUAAACCAGGAAAAAGAAAGUAAAAUUCAACCUUAGGCUCAUGGAUCCAGAGUGGAUAAUUAUGAGUCUGUAGUAUCUACAUGCAUGUGAUGAGGUUCAAGGACAAUAACCAUAAAGCAAAGACUUAAAAGGUUUUAUCAUUAGAAUAAUUGUAAUUCACUUGAUCUCUCAAUGUAACAAUACUUCGGUCUACUGUCUCAAGCCAUUAUUAUGUCUUACACUCAGCAUAUUGGUUUGUCUACCAUUAAAUAUUUAUUUUCUACAGUGCUUUCUGGAAGGCAAACAAAGCAGCCACUCUGCUACUUUAUAUUGAUUCCUGAGUUGUCCUUCGGAAACGCUUUCAGGAAGUUUAAUAGGUUUGAAAGAUAUUUAGACCUGUGACUGGCAAAUAUACUUCCUUCUUUUUAUUUCAAUAAGAGAGUACUAGAACUUAGAUCUUUAUUGUUUAAUCUAGUCAGUGCUGUCAUUGUCAAUCAAGUUCUCAAAUGACACUUGUCCUGAGCUGUAACUGAUCUAUUCAGAAGAAUAUGAAAAUAGUAAAGACGGCAACUAUGCAUGUUUUUACCGGACACGAUUUUAAUUGCUUUAAAAUGAAGUUAUGCAACCAAUGAGGAAUGGAGCUUUUGGAGUGGCCUGAAGCUAAAGGUUUCAGGUGUAUUUUUGCUUUCUUUGAAGAAAGAACCAAAUCAUUUUAUUUAAUAAAAAGGCCAUUUAUCAAGAAUUUCUUAAAGCUGUUUUAAACCUGAGUUUGCAAUUUAUAGAAUAUGUUCAAGCAGCCUCAGUGCCCUUUUAAUUGGAUGGUUUUCACAGAUUUAUCCAAUUUGAGAUUUAUCCAGUGAGAAUUCCCUUUGUUCAAGUAUAUAUGUCUUCUCUUCCAUAAAGCAGAUUCAAAUGAAAGAGUGCAAUCUGAUAUAUCAGACAUGUCAGUUAUACAUUUGAUGUGGUAAAUUUAUAAGAGAGGCCAAUUAUUGUUAUGAAAAAAUACAAUGAAAUACAUGAUAGUCAUUUACUGUUUUUAUAACUAAUCUAAAAGUAUUUACUAAAAAGAAACUAUUUCUUUUCAUAUGUACUUUACUUUUUACUUUAACCCUUCAUAUGUCCUUUAAAUAAAGAGAAGAAAAAAAGUCAUUUAUAUUUAUCCACAUAUUUUCUAUUUCAGGUGGUCCUCAUUCAUUCUUGUAGAUCCAAGUUACCAUCUGUUAUUAUUUUCUUUGUCACCUGAAGAAUUUUCAGAACUAUUUCUUCCUAUAUGUAGCAUGUAUAGAUACUCUAAAAAGUCCAUUAUAUGAUGUAUAAAACAAAGCAUACAAUGUAG
rnacentral:lncRNA from 1 species